GAUGAACGCUGGCGGCGUGCCUAAUACAUGCAAGUCGAGCGAACAGACGCGUAGCUUGACCCUCUGACGUUAGCGGCGGGUGAGUGAGUAACACGUGGCUAACCUCCCUAUAAUAAUGGGAUAACUUCGGGUCACAGGCGCUAAUACCGGAUAAUAUAUUGAACCGCAUGGUUCAAUAGUUAAAGACGGGUUUGCUGUCCCUUAUCGAUGGAUCUGCGCGGCAUGAGAUAGUUGGUCAGGUAACGGCUUACCAAGGCAACGAUGCGUAUACGACGGGACAGGGUGAUCGCCCACACGGGAGCGGAGACGCGGACCAGACGCCUAAGGGACGCAGCAGUAGGGAACGGGAGGCAGUGGGCGGAAGCCUUACGGAGCAACGCCGCGUGAGAGAUGAAGGUCCUGGGAGCGUAAUACCCUGUUAUGAGUGAAAAACAAAUUUGUAAGGAACUGUGCACGUCGUGACGGUACCUAAUGAGAAAGCAACGGCUAACUACGUG
rnacentral:rRNA from 1 species